AGAUGCACCUACUGUGGGCCCCUAAACACUCCACCCUGCCAGCCUUUCCAAUCCCCCUACUCCAAAAGGGAACAAAGGAGCCAAAGAACUCCUCGGCGGGGGUGGCCAGGAGUCCCCGACAGCCCGAGCUCAGAACGUGGCAAUAAGGGUGCGCAGUCGCCCUGAGGGGUGCGAACCCAGCACCCCAACCUCAGGAAUGGAGCAACACUCACCCGUGCGGAGCUCCCAGGGAGGCGGGACGCAAGGAGCCGGUUCCUCCGAGGUCGCCGCGGCGCCGGGGUCCGAGGCCCCGUAAGCGUCUAGUCAGACCCCAACUUCUCUCGGCCGCUGUCGUCGGCGGCAGCUGGGGCGCGAGCCUGGACGAAGGGCGCUGCCCAGCGGCCGCGGAGGCACUGCCGGCUCAGCCCCCGAGCGGGGCGGGAACUUUCGGCCCCGAGGUCCACCAGCCCGGGCGGACCCCCACCUUCCCUCAGUCGGCUUGCUACCGGCAGCGGCUACUGCGGCGUCCAAAGCUAACACUACAGCCGCCGCCUGGCCAGGAGCGCGUCGCGGCCUAAUGUUGUCAUCCGCCGCGUCGCCGCCUUUCUGGGCACCCAGAACCGCGAAGAUCCUUCACAUUCUAGUGCCCUCCCCCUGCCCCGCCCGCCCCCCGGAUCACGGGCUUCGGCCACGCCCUCUUCCCGUCACGUGACGGUGCGCGGAGGCGGUGGUGGAGUUGCUUCCCCUGCUAGGCGGGCUCGAACCGGGCGGGAGUCACUGUCCACCUUGCUUCGCCAGGGUGUUAUCGCCAGCCAGUCCCCUUCCGCAUGCCCAAGGGCAGCCUCAGGAAGCGAGCCCACCACCGUCGGCCCAGCGCCUGUUGAUCGGCCAGGCCUUCUGGGCCGGUCAUACUGGGCCCUUCCUAACCUGAGGAGAUUGCACAGUAGGGCUCCCUGGUCUGGUCAGGGCUCAGUUAGGACCCCUCUCCAGCCUUAGGCUUGGUGAAAGCUUUAGCGAAACAGAAAAAAGAACGCAUCGUGGUGUAGAGUGUAUGGCCUAAGAAGCAUUCGCUCCACUCAAAAAAAAGAAAGUCCUAAUGCAAGUAAUUGAAAGUGAAGAUAUUGCAAAACAAAUAAUGACAGCUGAAUUGAUGAUAUGAUGACAGGCUCAUCCCUCCAUUGUAAACUAUGACAAGGGUCAUAGCUCACUGCAGCCUUGAACUCCUGACCUCAAGCAAUCCUCCCGCCUUGGCCUCCUAAAGCAUUGGGAUUACAGGUGUGAGCCACUGUACUGGACCAGAAUCUGCAUUUUUAACAGGAGUUCCAGGUGAUUCUUAUGCAUAUUAACAUUUGAGAUGUUCAGUUAUCGAAAAUAAUUUUUAAAAUGUUUGUUUGGAAAUUAACUUUAAAAUGACACUUUGGCUUUUUCUUUUGGACAAAAUUGUAUGAUAGUGUGAUACAACAUUGUUUACCACUUCAUGUCUGACUUUUAUAGUACUGUCAUAACUUUUACAACAAAAAUAAUUUGAGGGUUUUAUUGUUUUCCAAAGGGCUUUAUCUUUGAUAAUCAAAUCAUUCUCUUUUGAAGUGCCUAAUCAUCAUCUCUGUUUAUUUUAUCUUAGUACAUGCUCAUCAGGCCUAACUUCCUCAUUUGUCAAUGGCUUUUAUGUGAUCCAGUAGUUUUCCAACAUUAGUUCACUUAUUUCAUCAAACACAUAUUAUUUUUCAAAGCUCACAAUCCACUUAGAGUCAAUUUCCAUUACACUUGUGGAUAUUCAUAUGCAACAUUCAGGAAAGAGCUGACUGACAAGCACAUUGACAGGAUGGGUGGGGAGGGAAGCCAGUGUUAAGCUGGAGGAUGUUUGGGUGGGGAUAAAUUUGAUAAGUGGCCAGGUUGUUAGUGAACAUGUCUAUAAUAGGAUGACUAUUGCUGUCUUGGGUAACAUGAUAACUGGGCAGGCAGGCAAAUAAAAUCCAGAUAACAAUAACCUAAAAGUGAAGAUGAUUAUCUCUGGGCAGUAAAAGUCCAGGCAAUUUUUAUUUCCUUCAUUGUGCUUAUCUGUAAUUUCUAAAUUUUCUAGAAUGAAUGCAUGUUAUUUU
rnacentral:lncRNA from 1 species